UCAAUUAUUUAAAAACGUAGUUUAAAUGCAAAUUUUCAAUAAAUAUAUUUAAUAUAUGUAAAUCCGCCCACAAUAAUUAACGUGUACAUAUAUAAAUGCCUUGUAUAUAGAGAGAGACUGGAUCGCUGUUGCUUUUACUGUUAAUAGGAAAGUUAUAGCUCUUUAAAAAAAACAGCAAGUCCCUACAAUUCUUUUUUAUAUCAAUUAAUCGAGUGGCUUAAUUUUUUUUCUAUACAUCAAAGAAUAUAAAAUUGCUAAUAAAAGUAAACAGAUAAAUAUUACAGCAUUUUCUUGUAUGCCAAUAUUUUGUCUGUCAAGAACGCACAAUUGUUGAUGAGUAAAUUUUGAAAGUGAACAUGCCAAAAUAACCAAAAGGUGCACUGUGUUGCCUUUGGUAUAUCUGUGCGUGAGAAUGCUUGCUCGGAACAAGAUUCAAUAUAUUUUUAUCUUUCUAUAUACUUAGAGGCACGUAGGAUCAGGGGAUGGCGGAAGAGGGGCACCACCAUCCCCUCCUCAACACCCCUCCCCCCCCCCCCACAUAACAAAUGUAUGACUGACUGAAUUGAAUGACUGCCCCCCUUUUAAUUUGAGUAUAGUAAAUUAUACUAAUGAUGAUAACGUAUAAGAAAAAAAUUGGCACUUGAAGUAGUUUGACCCCUCCCCCCAACACACGAAAUUUCAAGUCUGGACAACUUCCUUCCCCCUUUUCUUUUUUGUUUGUCGAGUUUUUUUUCAGUUAGGUUGAAUUUUAAUUCUCUGGUUGGCCCCUUACUUUAAAAAAUUGAUGCUACGUCACUUACUUACAAGCCAUUAGAUUAUCAUUCUUAUCAGGAGAUGAAACUGUAAAAGAACCUUGACGGUCCAGUCUUUUCGCCUACACUCUAAAGAUGUACAUUUAUCGGGUUUUGGUUUAGAUGGAAAAAACUUGAAUUAUUGAGGAUAAUUUUUAUAAAUCUUUGAUCCUCAACAUGUGCCGAUCCAGGAAUUUUACCAGGAAGAUGGAGGAUGCUUUAAACUAACAAGAAAAAACAUUCAAAAAUUAAUGUCAAGAAAAAGAAACGAAAGUAGACAACGCAUAAGGCACGCCAAAUUCACAAAAAUGAGCAAAACCUAGUUUCACAAUUGAUAAACUUGGUUAAUCGACUGUAAACUUUAGUUUACAAACCGUGAACUAUAGUUAACGAUUCGUUAAGUAUAGUUUUCAUCUGUUAAACUAUAUAUAACGGUUGUUAACUAUAGUUUACGAAUGCUAAUCUAAGUUUAUCUGUCUGUAAUAAAACGUUAACAACAGAUUUUGUUGGUAAACAUAGAUUCACGUCUGUAAACUAUAAUUUACGAUCGUUAACUAUACAAAACAUUUCACCAUUGUCGAACACUUCCAUUGUUAACUUAUUGGACAGCCACAGGUAAGGUCUAGUUCUGCUUGGGUGACUACCUGGCGCUGUUCAUCAUGUUAGGCCAAAGAAAACCAGUUUUGGUUUUUCUUCUGUCUUUAUUAAUAGUAGGAAUCAUCGAGAGGUGUUUUAUAUCGAUAUAUAUGAACAUUAACUUUGUUUAGUCUUAUUUAUCCGCAUUGCGACAUUUAUACUACGCAUGCGUAAAAGUCAGUUCUACUAAAUUUUUUACAAUUUAUUCAUUUUACAACGCAACGACCACGGAUGAAGACUUACAUUUUAAUUUCGAAAAAAAAGACCUUCAGAAUCGGGUGUUUUGACGAUGCCAUUUAUCGAUUACAUCAAGAUGCCUCAGUUCAGGUUUUUACUGUGAAAUCCGGAUAUACGAGGGGCUAUCAAAAAGUUCGUGGACUAGCGCCAUUAAAUUAAAACCGCUUUAGGUACAUCAAUGACUUUUAUAUUAUUUAGUUAUCAUCAUCUUUUCUAUCUAUAGAAUAAACCACAAACUAUAAAUUUUAUUUUUAAAUAAAUUAGUAAAGUUUUUGUAAGCAAUGGUAUGUCCAGGCGGCGCAAUCUCGAAAACGACGUUUUUUCCGACUUAAGUGUAACUGAGAUAAACUACUUUGAUAUGAACAUUUGACAUCCAAAAAUCCCGUUAAUUCAGGUAUGUGUUGGGACACUAUUUUUCCAUAAAUUAUGGAAUUUUUACCUCAUUCUGGAAGUUCUAUGAAACUUUAUUGUAAAUUUUACAUGGAGUGUCCAAACAAAUAUUUCCUUGAAAAUGACGACAAAAGGGGGGAGAGGCUUCCUGUACCAACAUUCGAUAAAGUUUUGCCCCUGGAAAAAAACUGGUAUACAUCUAGGAAAUGUUUAAACUGGCUACGGAGAAAUAAUUUGUAUCCAGAUUACUUGUUUUUUAAAUGCCAAAAUAGAUUCAGAGUGAAAACUCCAAAGGGGAUGCAAAGUUAACGUCAAUAUGUAGUGAAGGUUUGAAAAAUCUCUCACGUCAAAUAAUGACGUUGAUUAUGUGUUUUAGCUGUAUUGAACUCCAAAAAACAAAUAUGCUGGAACAAUCAAGCGAGGAUCUUUCCCAAUGUAUAAAUCCAUUUGCAAUAAUAUAUGCAUUGAAUGCUGCUGUUCAUGACAUUGUAAAGUCAUGAAAACAAGAUGGGUUGAAGUCCUUACUCAACUCUAAGGAGUCUCGUCAAAAUAAGUGUGCGAGGUAGAGGAAGCGGACUUUGAAAAAUAGUAACAGUGUCGGACGUCAUGAAAAUAAUCGGCGACGGCGCCGGGUGAUCAUAUAAUGUCGUUUUUAUUUUAUAAUAAUUUGGUAAAUAAUGAACGUAUCAAGCUAAAAUUUUCAACAUUUCUUCAUUUUUUGUUGUUUUAUGUUCCUUAUAAAUUUUGUAAGCUCAGGCAAUAUAGUAUUAAUUUUACAGUCUCAGUCCACGAACUUUUUGAUAUCCCCUCGUAUAUUCUUAUGUUUCGGAAUUUGCAAGAAACAGUUCCCGUUAAAAGGUUUCGAACUCGGAAGGAUUUUACUCCAGCCACUUCUUAAAACGACAGGCACUCGCUCAAAGUAUGCAGGACUAGAUGGACAAAUGGUCAUAAAUCACCGGACGAAAUUACAGAUUCCGUUGGAAUUUCGUGAGCUAAAUUUUGUGCUAAAUGCGGAAAAA